rnacentral:lncRNA from 1 species
CAAAAUAAUAUAUCUUUUUAUGUAUCCACCAAAAAUUGAUGCCAAAUAGAACAUAAAAUUCUAAAUCUAAAAAACUAUAUCAUAUGAAAAGAAAAUUACCAAUUUUUGUAUUAGUAGUGCCAUUGCAACAUAUUGAGCUAUCAAAUUUUGAUCUUGAAGGUAUACAGCAUCUAAUAAAACUGAAUCUAAAGCAACAUCUUCUCUUUUUCUUUGUAACAUCAUCCUUUGACUUAUCAACUUUCAAACUUCCUGCUUUAAUUACAUUCUUAUUUCCAAACCCCAUCUUCUAAAAAUUGUUACUACAAACAAUUUUCCAUAAUAAAAAGUCUCAAACUUUAUAUUAAAAAUAAUAAUAAAAAUUCAACAAUUCAUAUCUUCAAAGAAACUCAUCAUCAUAUCCACUAUACAAAAAAAAGAACAACAUCAUAGUAUUGAGACAUGGUAUUAUUAAGGAUCAAUGAACACAUGUAAGACAAAAUCAACAAAAACAAAACAAACCCAUUUUGUGAAAUGAGACCAAACUCCAAAGCAAAGUGGAAUUUUAGGGAGAGAGAGAGAGAGAGAGA